GGCACUUAGUGCCUGUAGAAUGAACCUGCCCAUCAUCUCCACUGAUCCUCAUGAGAGUCCUCAGGCCCUGAGGGACGGCCUCCCUGCUUUACAGCUGAGGGACAUGAGAUGCAGAAAGGCAGCAACCUCCUGAUAACGCACCAGUGGGGGUCAGACCUCCAUGCUUUCUGACUCAGUGCACUGCUCUCUGCACCACUUGUACCCCAACAAGGAUUUGAAAGGGAAACAAUGGAUGUGCAAGAGCCCAGUGUACUAAUGAAUGCCUGGGAAAGGCUGAGAAAGGACCAAGAGAAGCUAAGAAGUGUAAAGGAGAGACUGAAAGCAAGGAAGAGUAUAUCUGCACAGAGGGAUGAUCAUAUGAAGAGGCAUCAAGAGGGUGGCCAUAUGCAAGCCAAGGAGAGAAGCCUUACAGAAAACCAACCCUUCUUGCACCUUGACCUUGGACUUCCAGCCUCUAGAGCUAUGAGAAAAUAAAUACCCGUUGUUUAUGCACUCUGGUCUGUGGUACUUUGUUAUGGAUACUAAUACACUUGGCACUCUUAAACAUGAAUCAUUUCUGGUUCUGGAAUAUUAAAUUCAAGUGACUUUUAUGUGUAAUCCAAAUGCUAAUGUACUAAUUUAAAGUGGGGAUAUUUUCUUUCUAAGUGUUUGUUAAGCCCAGGGUGCCGU